rnacentral:rRNA from 1 species
GAUGAACGCUGGCGGCGUGCCUACUACAUGCAAGUUGAGCGAAGGGGGGAAGGGUGAGUAACACGUGGAUAACCUCCUAUACGACUGGGAUAACUUCGGGAAACCGUAGCUAAACCGGAUACUUAUCAAUGGCUCAGCGCUGCAUUAGCUCGUUGGUAGGGUAACGGCUAACCAAGGCAACGAUGCAUAGACGACCUGAGAGGGUGACCGGCCACACUGGAACUGAGACACGGUCCAGACUCCUACGGGAGGCAGCAGUAGGGAAUAUUCCGCAAUGGGCGAAAGCCUGACGGAGCAACGCCGCGUGAGUGAAGAAGGUCUUCGGGUCGUAAAACUCUGUUAUCAGGGAAGCGGUACCUGAUCAGAAAGCCACGGCUAACUACGUGCCAGCAGCCGCGGUAAUAC